AGCCCCUACCUCAUUAGAUUCCUCAAAACCUCCUCUUUGCACAAGAAAUAGUCGCACAAUAUUCUGUCUAAUUGAAAUCCUCUAACGAUCGACGGUGAGUCGACGACGAUGAGCAGAUUGACUGAGACAAAUGCCUAGAGAGAUGGUACAGUCUAACAAAGAAUACACCGAGGAGGAUGUAAGAGACCAAGUGGUUAAAGGGAUCCCAUUCGAGUCAUCCGAGCAGGGACCCUUUCACUUUCCUGGGUUACGUGGUGAUAUUGAAGCCAUUGAACGUAGUUUCUUUUGGGGGUUUCAACCACUUCUAUGAAGCAGUCGAAGAGAUGAAGAAUGAUUUCUUUAGUGCAAUAGCGGUUCCUUUGGAAUUUUAGCAAUCAAAUGACAUUAUAUAGCUGGACAUUUUCAUUUUUCAAAUCUGUGGAAGUGAAUGUAACUCUUCAACCAUUAUGACACAACUAAAUUCUUUUUAGGUUGCCUACUUCUCAAGGUGAAUAUCAAUUGCCAUAAACAACAGAAAUUCCCACAUUUUAAAUAGUCCAACCAUCAUUUUAAACAAUACAUUUCAGUUUACAUAAACUGCCUACUUCUCACUGUGUUUUCACAAACUAAAACCACAAAAAUUCCCACAUUUUCAACAACACAAAUUCUCACAUUUCUAACACCAAAUUAGUCCCACAUCAGUUUUCAAAUUGCCAUUCCAAAUUGCCCGCUUCUCGCUGACCAUGUUGUCGAACAUGGUUUGUGACUCUAUUUCAAUCUGGGUACAUUUCUCUGCAUUAUAGGAAGAAGAUGAAAUUAAAUAUUUAUAUAUGCUUCUCAUUUAUUAUAUAAGAUCAAAUUUGAGAUCAAAUGUCAAAGAAAAAAAAUAUCGUUCUUGCUGUUUUCUUCAAUUUCAUUGGCUUCCAUAGCAGAUAAGGAGAAGAAAUUGGUUCUUUCUGUCGGUUUGGGUUGCGUCUGGGUCGAAGUUGGGUCAGAGGAGCUUGGGCUCGACAAGUGGGGAGUGAGAAAUGGAGGGAAUGAAAGAUGAUUGGGGGUGGAAAAUGAGGAGAAUGAAAGAAAACGUGGGUUUUACAUUUCAAAUUUAGGGUUUUCAUUUUUAUUAAAGCUGGCGAGAUUUUGAGUGAAAAUAUCACCAAUAUAUCGCCACCUAAGCAUUAUGGAUACUUUUAUGUAAGGGCUAAUGUACAUCUAGCACUACCCUGAUGCCUUUUUUAUUUACUUUCCUAUUGUUGCUUUUCUCUUCUCAGCCAUGCAACCUUCUUCUUUGGUCUUUGUGAUCUCCAUUUUUCAAAUUUUCAUCUAACACACGCAACAUUUCUCUUCUCUCUUCAGCCUUUUUCAACUCUUUUUUUCCAGGAUUUCUGUCCCUUGUUUGAAAUUCUUCAGAAGAACCCAAAAAAAUUGUGGAAUAUUGAGAUUUUUACAUGUAGAAUUAGAAUCCUCAAACCUUCAUUUUCCUCUUUUUGUAUAUGGUUAUUCAAUUUCCUUUAGCCUUAUUGGUUUUGUGUUCGACAUUUUUCUCUCUGUCCGUGUUCCAGGUUUUCUAAAACCUUCCCCAAAAAAGUGGAAAAUUUACCUAGAAAUUGGUGAUUGGCGAGGUGAAGUAUAUCGGUUUGAUAUUUGAUUACAUUUAGAGUAAUUUUCUAUUUGGAAACAAUUCGUUUUAUCUAUUUAUUCUUGAUGAUUUUAGGUUGAAAUCUUGUAUAUGUAUCAACUAACCUUUUCUUUUUUUAGUGUAUAAGGUUCCAUUCUAUUCUUAAGUUGGUGGAAUCGAAGCCAGUAGCGGCGCCACUCUACUGGAUACUUGCUAAACAGCUAUAUGAGGAAGAUUUCUACUCAAUGGUACCUAUCUCCAAGUUAAUGAGGAUAUUGCCCUAGUUUUGGAAGGUAAUUACUUUUGUGUUUUUGGCAAGAACCCUCUCUUGAUUUCUCAUUGUCUUCUAUGAUUGCACAAGCCACGAGAAUUUUUCCUACAUUUUAGUCUCAAUGCAGAAAAUGAAAUGUUGCACACACUUUCAUUUUUAGCAGGUGUUAUGAAGAUGGAAUUCUUUGUGGCUCACCCAAUUUCUACAAGUAGGUUUGGCUCAUUCCAUAUUGUGUGUUCUUCUUUUGCUUAAUUUUCUAAUAUUUAAAUGUAUAAUUUUUCGUCUUUGGCACUUUAUUUUA